CACCAGACUCCUACGGGAGGCAGCAGUGGGGGAUAUUGCACAAUGGGGGGAACCCUGAUGCAGCGACGCCGCGUGGGUGAAGGAGUAUUUCGGUAUGUAAAGCCCUAUCGGCAGGGAAGAAGCAAGACGGUACCUGACUAAGAAGCCCCGGCUAACUACGUGCCAGCAGCCGCGGUAAUACGUAGGGGGCGAGCGUUAUCCGGAUUCACUGGGUGUAAGGGGAGCGUAGACGGCCAAGCAAGCCAGGGGUGAAAGCCCGGGGCCCAACCCCGGGACUGCCCUUGGAACUGCUUGGCUGGAGUGCGGGAGGGGCAGGCGGAAUUCCUGGUGUAGCGGUGAAAUGCGUAGAUAUCAGGAGGAACACCAGUGGCGAAGGCGGCCUGCUGGACGAUGACUGACGUUGAGGCUCGAAAGCGUGGGGAGCAAACAGGAUUAGAUACCCGAGUAC
rnacentral:rRNA from 1 species